rnacentral:rRNA from 1 species
CCCUUAGAUGUUCUGGGCUGCACGCGCGCUACACUGGUGCACUCAACAAGUUUACAACCUUGAUCGAUAGGUCUGGGUAAUCUUUUGAAUAUGCACCGUGCUAGGGAUAGAUUAUUGCAAUUAUUAAUCUUGAACGAGGAAUUCCUAGUAAAUGCAAGUCAUCAGCUUGCGUUGAUUACGUCCCUGCCCUUUGUACACACCGCCCGUCGCUCCUACCGAUUUCGAGUGGUUCGGUGAACCUUUCGGACCGGCAAUGCCUCGUGUUGCGCCGGAAAGUCAAGUAAACCAUAUCACUUAGAGGAAGGAGAANUCGUAACA